GAUUGAUGCAAGUGGUGGUGAGGCCUGGGAACAAGGGGGUAGGUACCUAAGAAGGCUGUCCUGGGCCUACAGUUCCUGGAAGGUAACAGAGCUAACAGACUGCAGAGCUGGCUAAAUAAGGACUGGCUGAGAAGGAACUAGACCAACCCAAAACCAGUGUAACACAAGUGGAGUAUGUGUUCCAGACUCUUUAGAAUGCUUCAGGGAUGAAAGAAAAUGAGCGAGAGAAUGAUUAUCAAGAUCAAAUCAGCAUGACAAGAACUAGGCAGAUCAGAUAUAAUAGAUGGUCGAAGUAUAAGCCAAGAAGGAGUAGCAGCAAAGAAAAAAAGUGUUUUAAACAAGAUUCUCUGGUAAAAAUGCCAACAAGAAGAGGAAUAUCUGGACACCAGAAAUUAGUCACUUUGGUAACAAAACAUCCAUAGGAAACCAUUCUCAGCACAAACAAU